UCCAAUAUCUUUCUCAUACUCAUCAUCUAUCUCUUCCUCUGAUUUAUCUACAAGCUGCACUUGGGAUGGUCUACUAGACUUUGAUCUUGAUGAUGAAGCUGAAGCUCCCUCUUUGAAAAAUAUUUUUGCACCAACUCUAGUGCGAUAAGCAUGCUCAUACGCUUCAGAAGCUUCAGCAAUAAGAUCCCAUGUCAAACCAUCAUCACCAUCACUAAAUACUUGUUCUUAUUCAUCAUUCCCAUCUGUAUGAACUCGUUUUAUUCUUUCAGUCAACCACUCAU
rnacentral:lncRNA from 1 species